CCUACGGGGCGCAGCAGUGAGGAAUAUUGGUCAAUGGGCGGAAGCCUGAACCAGCCAAGUCGCGUGAGGGAAGAAGGCCCUGCGGGUCGCAGACCUCUUUGGACGGGGAGCAAGGCCGCCGACGUGUCGGCGGAAGGAGAGUACCCGUAGAACAAGCAUCGGCUAACUCCGUGCCAGCAGCCGCGGUAAUACGGAGGAUGCGAGCGUUAUCCGGAUUUACUGGGCGUAAAGGGUGCGCAGGCGGUUGAGUAAGACAGAUGUGAAAUCCCCGAGCUUAACUCGGGGAUGGCAUAUGUGACUGCUCG
rnacentral:rRNA from 1 species